rnacentral:lncRNA from 1 species
CACGUGGUUAUAACCUUCCUGGUAAACCAGACGGAAAUAAAUAUUUUGAACUAAAAGGUAAUUAUUAGGACUUAUUCGAUACUUCCAAGAUAAAUUUUUCAUUCUUUAGUUACGUUUUCAAUUCUUCCCUAUAAACAUAUGCCCUAAAUACGUUAAAUUUGUAGAAUUGUGAUAUUUAACUUUCGUUCUGGACUUUGACAUAAUAAUAUAUAUGUUAUGUCCUAUUACUAGGUCAAUAUAUUGUCUCAAUUUAUAAUAUCUUUGCUACACAAGAUAUAUAUAUAUAUACGUUCAAUGAAUAAUUAAUUAAGCAGGUUUAGGAAAAGUUGCUGUAUUUGUUUGUUAAUGUAUCCAGAGACAUAUAUACACAUGUGUAUAUAUGUCUCUGAUGUAUCGAUGCUAUCAGAUUCUAAUUUAUUUACACAAAAGAAAAUAACACAAACACACAAAAAAGAAGUCCAAUCACGUAUGUAUAAACAUUGGUAUCUAUGAUGAGUUUAUUUAUUAACAUAUCCUUGCGUAUGAAAAAAAAAAAUGAUGUGUAUGCCCCUGCGACAAGAUGUCUGCUCUCCGUCCGUCCGUUUGAUCAUCUGGAUACUUGAUUUGAUCUCCUACAAUUUUUGAGCUAUGAAAGCCUUUAUCUUUUUUAGGAUUUUCUACACAUUAUAGAGGUGUGCAUGUCCACAGUAUUUUCAUGUUUUUUUCAAAUAUUCUCAAAAUGCUAGAUAUUUGGACGUUAUCAUUUUUUGUCGAGCCUGAGACUUUCGUCGCAGAAAGCUCAACAUAGGGAUAGUGAUACGGCGGCGGGGGUGGCGUUAGUUCAACUAUUCAAAGCUUAAUAUAGAUGCCUUAUGAUACGAAGUUUCCGACUGUCACACGUUUAUGGUCAUUGACAUCAUUUUCAUGCAUCGGUGACUAAUUAAAAAAAAAGUUUUUUGUAAUGUGAAUUUUUCUUCUAUUAUGAGUUAUGGGAUCUAUAUUUGGUUUGUGUGUACCUUGAGAGGUCGUCGUGCCCGUCAGGCAGUUUUCAUUUGAUUUUGACCUCAUUUCAUGGAUAGGUUAACAAGGUUAAGUUUGGUGGUCAAGUCCAUAUCUUCAGAUACUAUAAGCAAUAGGCGUAGUAUUGUUGGUGUAAGAAAGAUUGUAAGAUGUAAAUGAUCAAUUGCAGGUGUCAUCUGAACUUGAACUCAUUUACAUUGUUCAGUUGUUAUAGUGAAGUCUUUGUGUUUUGGUCUAUUUUUCGUAUACUGUAUAUAAUAGGUCUACUAUAUUUUGUUUAUGGAAUGAUUGUAAGGUUUACACGUCUAAUUGGCAGGUGUAUUCUGACCUUGAUCUCAUGUUCAUGGUUCAGAGGUCAAAGUUAUAUUUUUUUAAGAGUUUAGUCUUUUUUCUUAUACUGUAUGCAAUAAGGCCAACCAUAUUUGGUGAAUGGAAAUAUUCUAUGAUGUACAUGUCAGUCUCACAGGUUUGAUUCACCUUGACCUCAUUAGCACAGUUCAUGGCUUAGUGUUAAGAUUUUGUGUUUUGGUCUGUAUUUCUGAAACUAUAUUCAAAAGGUCAACUACAUUUGUUGAAUGAAAGGAUUGUAAGCUGUACAUUGGUCAAAUUUGUGUUUUCUUGGUUAAGUUUGUUUCUAAGAAACUAUAAGCAAUAGAUCAACUAUAUUAUAGUAUUGAAUGUUUGCAAGGUGUACAUGUAUUUCUUGUUUAAUUUGUAUGACCUUGACCUCAGUGUCUUGAAACAUGUUCAAUUUAUGUAAUAGUUGUAAUGAAGUUUUAAAUAUCAAUGGUUAGUAAAGAAGACGAUACAUUUCAGCGUAUGCACCCUUGUUUAUAGUAGCGGCAUAUAAAGAGAUAAUAGUUUGUCCGUCUAUGUCCUCCUCAGUAUUUGAGCUACAACUUUAAUAUUUAGAUUUUUUUGUUUGUAUCCAUAAUGGAAUUAUCAAUAUUCACCAAAUUAAGAUAUUUUCAAAUUACCCACAAUGCCCGUUUUUUGGACUUUAUACACGUAAUUGAAAUGUCCACAGAUUUUAGAUUUUUCUCAAUUAUUCUCCGAGUGCCACAUAUUUGGACUUAGUCGUUUUUGUACUCAGAACUAAACAAAAUAUCUUUAUACACAGUGUUGAAUUUAUAUAUUUGCUCAGAUUGUGGCAUCAGUGGCGGAUCCAGAGGGGGGGUUCCGGGGUGCGCACCCCCCCUUUAUUUUGGCCGAUCAAUGCAUUUGAAUCGGGACAUAUUUUGCACCCCCCCCCCCCUUUGCCCUGGGCAGCACCCCCUUUCGAAAAUUCCUGCAUCCGCCACUGGGCAUCAUUUGUGUCUUACUGACAGCGUAACACUUUCAAGUUAUAAUUCAACAUCACUGUUUGUCAAAUCUAAAGUAUGUGGAACUAUACUCAUGCAUAUAGCAGAGCAGAAAGGGGCAUCGUGAUUAGUCAAUAUCUAGUUGUUUUUAAAUGUUUUAACAUUUUUAAAUAGCUUCGCAUUAAUGUCAAGAACUGUAACUCUCUCUUUAUUGUGUACAAAAAAACAACAAGUACGUUUUUGUCAAUCUAUUGUGUUAUUAUUCUCCUUUGCGUAAAACAUGAGAAAAAGAAAAGUUUUUUAAUGGAUAAUACACUUCAUUAAUUAAGCUAUGUGUCUACUUUAAAACAAAGAUUGGUUUUCUAGUUAUGCUUUGACGUGCAAUCAAGUGUGGUGGUCUAUCAUUAUAUUUACGUGUAACUGAUAAUAGCUUUAUACUGUGUAGGUACUUUUAUUUAUGGAUAUCAAUUUUCCUGGUUUGUCAAAAAUCACGUUAGUUCGUGGGGUGUUGAAUUCGUGGCUUUACUUAGUGCAUCUGAGUUUAGAAUGAAAUUUCACAUUUCAGGGGGAUUUCAUAUUCGGGGUUUAAAACUAAAUCAAGUCAUCAGUUUUGUUCAUGUUGUUUGUUGAUAAAGAUGUUGUUGGUAACUCAUAUAUUGUUAUUUGUAGUUUGUGUUAAAUGGCGACAGCUUCUAAGAGCUGUGGUGUUUGUGAACUCCGUCACAUCACCAAAGCAUCCAAAGUCUGGUGUACAGAAUGUGACGAGGGCCUGUGUACAGAAUGCCACGAACAUCAUAGCUUGUCUAAGGCAUCGAGAAGUCAUAGCGUGAUACCCUUUACUGAAUACCAGAAAUUACCAGCUGAUGUACUUAAAUUUACUCAGUACUGUACCAAACACGAUAAAAAAUAUCAAAUGUAUUGUCAGAAGCAUGAAUGUCCCUGCUGCAGCAAAUGCAUCGUGGAAAGCCAUACCGAAUGUCGAGAUUUCGUCGAAUUAGAUGACGUUAUUCACAAUGUCAAAACCUCCAAUGCCAUGUGCGAGUUAGAGGAAACAUUAGUUGAAGUAGCAGAAAAUCUACAGAAAAUUCGUCAAAAUCAACAGGACAAUCUGACAAAAUUCAAAGAAAGUAAGAAAGGGUAAGAAACAGAAAAAAAAAGACUAGAAAAAAGAUCAACGACCAUCUCGACAAGCUACAAGAGGAUUUGAUGAAAAAACUUUAUGCGGAAGAAGAAAAAGAAAACUCCAAAAUAUGUCAGUUAUUGUCAUCAUUAGAAAGGAAGGAAACAGAAAUAGCAGAAUGUCAGAGAAACAUUCUGAACAUAAAGCAACAUGCAACAGACCUUCAAGUCUUUCUUUCCAUGAAAAAAAUAGAGGACGACGUCUAUAGCAAAAAUAAAUUCAUACAGUCGCUUGAAGAAGACAAGAUUUUCACCAAAACUUCUCUUUCAUAUAAGAUCAACACCUCUAUCCAGAAUAUCAUGUCCGAUAUCAGAAGUUUUGGAGAUGUGUAUAAUGAAGCUAAAUCUUGCGAUAUAGUUAUUACUAGGAAAAAGGCUAAUCAAGCUCAAAUGAUGGUACCGACCGAUCAAUCAAGACCCAUUGAAAAUAUUACGUUAACGAAACAAAAUACUAUCAACACUCAAGGAAACUUAACCUACGGAUGUUGCAUGUUUCCGGAUGGUAGAAUGGUAUUUACUUACUCGGUAUUCAAUAAUUGUAAGGUAAUUGUGUUUGACAUGAAUGGAACAAAAGACUUUGAAGUGAAGAUGCCGUGUAACCCGUUUGAUAUAGUGUACAUCAGUGAAGAUAAUACAUUAGCUGUCACAUCUGGUGGUUCAGUGAAGAAGUGUAUAACUAUUAUAGACUUGGAGAAGAAACGAAUCAAGAAAAUAAUUUCACUGGAUUCGUUAUACAGUUAUGGCAUUGCAUUGAAAGAUAAUCGAUUGAUUUAUUCCGGUAGAGACAAAGGUAUACGAAUGAUCAAUAUGUACGACGAUUCUAUAACUGACAUAGUUCAAGACACCAUGCCAUUUGACUGUUACACUGCAACAUUUAGGGACAACAUAUACCAUACAAACAAUGAAACACACACUGUCAUAUGUUAUAAUCUACAAGGUGAAAUACAAUGGACAUUCCAAAAUCAAAGCAUUCUUAAGAUUCCUCUCGGUAUAGAUGUAGAUAGUGAUGGUAAUGUGUACGUGGUGGGAUUCUGUUCGAACAAUGUGGUAGUUAUCUCCCCUGAUGGACAACGACAUAGAGAAAUAUUGACAGGAAGUGAUGGUCUUAAUGAUCCUGCCUCGCUUCAUUAUAGCAGACCACAAAAUCAGUUGCUAGUCGCGAACUUGCACAAUAAGGCUCAUUUGUUCAAUAUAAAUUGAACAAAUUUAACAUCUCAAACUUGACUCUCUUUAGAUUAUAAUCUGUAAAUAUUCAUAAAAGCUGAAAUUUGGAACCAUAUUUUGUCAAUUUGUCAAUUACACAAUAUAUAUGAAAAAUGUGGUGUUUGUUUGAAACAAAAAUAAAUAUGCACUUUAAUAUAUUUGUGAAGCUUAUGAUAUAUCAAUUUAGCAUAUUUAUGGUAUCCCAUUUACACAAGUAUUUAGUGAACUAUUGCUGGGUUAGUCCCACAUCAAGCUUAAACAAUGACUUUAUAUACAUGUACUUUGAUUGAAUAUGUAAGUAAACGAGUAAAACACAAUAUAGUCGCUUAUCUGUAAAGAAUAUACAAAAUGUCAUGUUUAUGAAGUUUUUUUAAUAUAUUUGUGUUAGAAAAAUAAAUUUAAUAAACAAAAUGAAUAUAACAUUAAUUUAAUAUGAAAAUGAAAAGGGCACAUGCUGUAUAUUACCACAAUCUUCUCUUGUCAAUAUGUUCUGUAGUAUAAGUACACAAUCAAUUGCUUUUAACAAAAAUGCCGCAUAUAAAGUCUUCCAGCAGUACAAUGCCCUGGAAAAAAAACCUCAUUGGUAAUGGUAUUGUUAGCGCCCUUAAUUUGCAAUGGUAUUGUAAGCACACAAUUUUUACGAUAUUUCAUUAAAUUUAUAUCAAAGUUUUAAAUCACCAAUGUUCAAUACAAAUUCGAAAUUAUUUUUACGGAAUUAUGUCAGUUCAAAAUGUUUAUU